AUCUGAAGAUGGUGACCUAGAGAUGCCACCCUCAGGGUUCUGACGUUUUCUUGGCCAUUAUUUGAACUUGGGACAUGUCUUUCAUCUGACUUCCCAUGAUCCUUCACAUUCUCUUUGGUCAAAGACAGUUGAUAUAAGGAUUCUAACAAGUCUGCCUCCUGCUGUUCUUCAGUCCCCUCUAUCCUCUUGUCUCUGAAGACUGCUAACAUUUUCACCUGAUGCCUGUCGCCAUCAUGGCCACACUUUCAAGUUAACAUAGGUGGACUUUGGCUCCUCUGUGUAGCAUAAUCUUCAUGUGUGAGAGAGGUUCUGGUUCACCUUGUCCUAUUUUGCAGCUCCACCUGCCACUUGUGAUGCUUCUUCUGGCUCUGGAAGACUUCUUUUUGCCUGCAUAGUCAAGGUGCGAGGACUACUCACAGUUGUCGACUUGACUGCAUCUGGAAUGAACUAUGAUCCAGAAAUGGAGGGCACAAUGGAACAAGGAAGGAGUUGUUCAUCCUUUACCUGCUUGUACUUACUUGCCAGUGCUUCCGUUGGAGCCUACUUCUUUAGGAUGUUAGCUUAAACCAAUCAGCUGUAACACCCAGCCUUGUAGGAUGGACAAACUUCACCCAGGUUGGGCAUCUGUCUAUGAGAAGCCAUCAGAGAAAUGAACCAGGGCCCUUCUUGGUCAACACCAUGUCUCCACUUCUACACUGCCUGGUUCUGUACCCAUAAUAGUGCCCCAAUCUAGGAAUUAAAACCUCCUAAUUUAGAUCA
rnacentral:lncRNA from 1 species